rnacentral:lncRNA from 1 species
UCGUGUCUUCCAUGAUGUGAUCGGUGAUUUUAGCAUUAUACUUUGAUACCAAAUAUAUUGUAUCAAAAUAUAAAUUCUGGAAAAUUCAUUCUUGAACAACAUCAAACUUCUUGCUUCAGUCUCUAGAGCCUCUUCUCCAUCGCAAAUCCAUGGCGGCUUUUCUGGUGGACGUUUUCUCCACAACAAAUCGCUUGAUUUGAAAGUCAAUACAAAUUGAUUGGUCAUCUUUUCAUCGAUCAUGGCAAUAAAAUUCAUGUGGGGAACUGCAACAUCGUAUUGAAAGGAAGAGAGACUAUCCUUGAAUCCCAAUGUAAAUAAAGUUCUUCUUCAGUAAAGAGAAGAAUAAGAGACACAUAAUCAUUGAAAGUCUGAUCAAAUAUUUGAUCAUAACUAUGGAGUGGGCAAUCCAAAGAAGACACUGGCCUUUUGCAUCGCCACAAAACUGAUAUGUCAUCACUUUUUAAAGGAAAAAGGUAAGUCUGAAUUGAUUGAAUUUAAUGAUAUAAAAAAAAAACUGUGGUACGUUGCAUCUUUUCACCGAAUCGUCUCCAUCUCAAAACAAUACAACUCUUAGAUGAAACAUCCCUUAUCAAUCUAUAUAUAUGUGUGUGUUUUUAAAGACUCAUUUCUGUUAUCGUUUUCCAUCUCCUCUCUAAUUAUUUUUUUCACCCAAAAUCUCAGAAUUGAUUUAUUUGUUUGGCUCUCUAAAGCGUGUUUACAAUGAAUUUUCACUGUUAUUGUUCAUCAUAAUCCCAGAUAUUUUUCUCAAAAACCACUAUCAACGUCUUUUCCUUUGAACAAAUUUGGGGUUUCCAUCAUUUAAUUUUUUAAAUAUUUACAACAUAUCUAAUUUAUAUGUGUUGUUGUUCUUGCAUUUUGUUAGAGUCUAAGAUUAAUGCUUUCCAAAUUACGAUGUACAGAAAAAGGGGUUGUCUGUCAUUCAGUAAAUCUAUUAGAGGAAAACCGGUCGGUGAUUACAGUCAUGAGUUGAUCAAACAAUGUGUUUCUCAAUUGGAAAGUUUUAUUCUGGUGGGAAUUAUCAUCAAUUUCUUUUCAAUGGGGAUGGAUUAAUUCCACUGGAAUAUUUAAAUCUGUAUUGGCGUCACAUUUUAAACUCAAGAAUCCCCCAUGUCAAUAUAUUGUUCACAAAAAAAAAAAUUGUUCAUUCUUUUUUUUUUGUCACGGAAAAUUGUUCACUCAAGAACUGUAAAUUUACAUUGUUUUCUACUGCCUGAUUUGGAGAUGUGCGAACUACUGAGAUUAUAAAACUCAUUAAAAUAUCUUUUUAUUUAUAUAUUAUUUCUCGGAAACAUAUCCAAUUGUUGGUUAGAGACAAGUAAAUAUGAUGUAGAAGCCUAGAGUUUUAAAUAUAUUCAAUUCUUAACGAAAACUAAAGGCAAACACACAUCUUACGAUUUUUUUUACAACAAACAUAUCUUACAAUUUUUUUCUUUAUUCUAAGUUAUUUACAUCUAUAUAUAUUUUCGUUAAUGACCAUUUAUUUAUCAAAAGUAGCAUCUUUUAUCACUUGUGUCGUUUCAUAUAUAUAGGAAAUUAACAGUUUAAAUUUAAACUUUUUUCCAAGAUAUUUAGCGAACAUAAGUAGUUGACUUUUAUUAAUCUUGUCUAGCAUUCAAUUAAAUUUAAAUAGCUAUUUACUGGUUUACACAUCUGUAAACUAGAAGUUUCAAGAUCAAAACUAUUAUAGGUUGAAAUUCUUAGGGUCCGAAUGGUGACGGCGGAUUUGAUAAUAAAAGUGGUACGAAAUUAAAGUGAGGUACGGUACAACUGCGGUUUAAGCAGAAUUAAAGUGCGGUACGGUACAACUGUGGUUUUAUGUAAAAAGCGGUGGAAAAUAUUGUUUGAUUGGUGACAUGUAUUUGCGGUAUUGGAUAAUUAUUUAAUUUAUAAAAUAAUAAUAGUAUAGAAUAUAAAAUAUAGUUAAGUAUUAUAAAUAAUAUAUCAAUAUGAUAAAUUUAUUUUAAAAUUAUUUUUUCUUAAAUAUUUAUAUUUUAAAAGUGAAAACAAAAUUAUAUUAAAAUAUUAAAUAACAAAAUAGUUAAACACAAUACAAUAAGUACAUAUUAUUUAGAUAAUAUUAAUGAUAAUAAAUUUUUAAAAUUCAAACUAAAAAUACAGACAAAUUUUACAUGAGUACAUAUUCUUUAAAUAAUAUUAAUAAUGUAGAAUAAUAUGUGAUCGGUGAAAAUGUUAUGAAAUACUAAUUAUUAAUAAAAUGAUAUUAAUAAAAUUCUAAAUUUAAAUUAUUUACUUACUAUUAAAAUAAUAUUUAGUCAAUUUUGUUUAUUAUAAAUAGAUAUAUAUAUAUAUAAUUUAAAUAAUAUAUUUAAAAUGUGAAGAACAUACGUAAAAGUUAAAAAUAAAAUGGAUAUAUAUAUAUAUAUAUAUUAUUUUAUUAUAAUUACUAUUAAUUAUAAUUACAGUGAGGAAGUUUACAAUUAAAAAACACAUAUGCAUACGAGGAAUACAACAGCAUGCAAUUCAAGUGAUCCUUAUUAGCGUAUUAAUUAUUUAAGGUAGUAUGUUAUAAGACUUGAAGUGGUGGUAAAGUGUAAAUGUCCAAGGAAAUACAACAUGCUGUUGUUAUGCUUCAUUAACUAAUUAAGAAAUUUUACACAACAUUAUUAUUUAUUAAUAAAUAAAAUAGCUACAACAGUUCAAACGAAAAGAGAAAAAAGUAAAAACGCACAUGAACCGCUAGGUAAUUGACGAAGUCGUUGUUAUGGUUAGUGCGUUUUUCUACACUAUACGCUUUCAUGAACUCGAAUUUUAUGAUCGGUGACAUAUGUUAAUUCCGUCUUGCACUAGUGUAAUUCUGUCCUGCUUUUUUGUUUCCAUUCAUAACCUUAGAUUAUAAGUAAAAUUAUUAGUUUAAAAAUUGUUAAAAUAUCCUAAUAAGUGUUUUCUAUAAAUAUUAGUUUUAAAAAUUGUGUCUUCUCAUUAUAUAAGAUAUAUUUUUUAAAUUGUUAAAAUAUAUCUAUAAGUGUCUCUCUAUAAUUAUAUGUUUUUUUAUCUUAAAAAGAGCAUUGUUUUUAAAAGUGUCGUCAAAAUAUAUAAGUAUAUAUCUUUUCAUCUUAGUAUAUUUUAUUUUAUUUAAAAAAACUGCAUUGGUUUAAGAGAAAUUAUCGAGGUGUAUAAGAAUAUGUUUCAUACAAAUUUCAUUUAUUAAAAAAGUUGCUAAAAUGUCUAAAAAUAUAUUUUAUCCAAAUAAAUGUCAAAAAUUGUAACUUUCAUUAUAUCAAAGUGUCUUUUUAUCUUAAAAAUUGCAUUAUUUUUUAAAAAAUGUCCUAAAAAAUGCAAGUAUGUAUCUUUUCAUCUUGAAAGUAUGUCUUUUCAUUUUUAAGAAUUUCAUUAGUUUAAAAGAAGUUGUUAAAAUGCAUAAGAAUGUGUCUUUUCAUCCUACAUAUUGCAUUUGCUAAAAAAUAAAUGUCAAAUGUUGUAAUUUUUUCAUCCUAACAAAGUAUUAUUUUUCAUUUAAAAUGGCAUUGCUUUAAAAAAAUGUUGUCAAAAUAUAUAAGUAAAAUAUCAUCAUCUUAACGAUGUGUCUUUUCAUUGUAUGAAUUGCAUUGGUUUUAAAGAAAUUGUUAAAAUGUAUAAGGAUGUAUCUUUUAAUCCUAAAAUUGUAUUUCUUAAGAAAAGUUGUCAAAAUGUCUACAAUGUAUAUUUUCUUUAAAUAAAUGUCAAAGGUUGUAACUUUUUAUCCUAACAAAAUGUCUUUUCAUCUGAAAAAUGGCACUACUUUAAAAAUUGUUGUCACAUAUAUAAGUAUGUAACAUUUAAUCUUAAUAAUGUGUCAUUUCAUUUUAAGAAUUGCAUUGGUUUAAUGUAAGUUCCUAAGAUGUAUAAUAAUAUGUCUUUUCAUCCUAAAAUUUUCAUUUGUUAAAUUUUUUUUAUCAAAAUGGGUAAAAAUGUAUAUUUUCUCCAAAUAAAUAACUUUUGAUCUUAACAAUGUGUCUUUUCAUAUUAAAAAUUGCGUUCUUUAAAAAAAUAUUGUCAAAAUAUAUAAGUAUGGAUCCUUUCAUAUUAACAAUGUUACUUUCAUUUUAGAAAUUAAAUUGGUUUAAAAGAAGUUGUUAAAAUGUAUAAGGAUGUGUUUUUUCAUCCUAAUAUUUUUCAUUUGUUAAAAAAAGUUAUCAAAACGUCUAAAGAUAUCGCUGCAACUGUUGGUGACAAUAAUUUUAGUGAAGAACCAAUGCAAUCUUUGGUGAUAAAUCACUGCAACUGUUAGUGAUUGUAGUAUUUGGUAAUAAACCAUUGUAACUUCUAAUGUUAAUUAUUGCAACUAUUAACUAACUAUUGCAAUGUUUGAUAUCAACCAUUGUAACCUUUAGUCAUCUAUAUAAGUGAUAUACCAUAGAUUUUACUUACUUUCAGCCAUGAUAUAUAAGUUUUUAAAGAUAUAAUUAUUACGUUUUGGAGUCUUUUUUGAGUAUUUACAAGUUCAGGUACGUUCUGGAGAUAUAUGGUGACUUUGGAGUUUUUUGAGGUGCAGAACUGCACAUACGUGUCAUAUGUUUAGCUAUGUAUGGAGACCUUUCCACCGUUAUAUUGAGCCCGUCGUUUAACACAAUAUAGAGCUUUGCGUUAGCUUUCCAAUUCCGCCAGUUUGAGGUCAAUCAGCAUCUUGUAGCAGAAGUUAUACACGUUUUAUUGAAUAUUGGUCAGUCUACCUCGCGAGAGGAAGCUGUCGAGGAGAUGAAUGACUGUCGAUCGAUGAAACAGCAUUAGCAUCGGUCGACGGUGAUGCCAGAACGUGGGCCAAUCAUUAUUUCGAGAGCGACUGAAGCCCAUAAGCCACAGAAAAUUACCAAAAUACCCAUGGACGAACAUAAAUCCUAUUUAUGUUAUUUAUAAGGCAUUGUUACCGGCUACGCUAUCUAAGCUUUCUUUAAUUCAUAGUUCUUAGUUAUGAGAGAAAGGAGGAACUCCUUCAGAGUCCUCCUGCAACUCCUAUGGUUUUAUUAUUGCUUUUAUCUAUUCUAUUAUAUCUAUUCAUCUAUGAUUUAUGUGACAAACUUCAUGUCUGAAUAGAUCCACCUGUUAGGUUUAGGGUUCAGAUAGUCAUGAGGAAUUUGUCCAAAAUAUAGAACUGCUAAGUUGUUAGAAUAUGAAUCAAUGGAAUUGUUCUUAAUGCAUGUGUUCUAAAAUAGCUAAUUAGGACCUUGCCUAUAGAUAUUAGGGCGUAAGCGGAAGCUUGGUUCUCUGUCUGAACUAAUUUACACUGCGCUAGAAUUGCUAGAAACAAGCGAAAGCUGAUUUAGGAAUCCUAGUAAACUUAUCAAACCUGUUCGCUAAAGCUUGCUAGAAGGGUCGUCGAUCGACGACUCGGUAGUUGUAUCGAUCGACAGUCUGAAAGAUGUAUCGAUCGACAGCUCGUUGAUAGCGUCGAUUGACACUUUCUCAAGAUCAAUAUGCUAGAGUUGAGAUCUUAAAUCUAGUAAUAGAUAAUCUAAACAUGCGAGAGUUGAUAGAUUAUUGCUUAGUUUUAGUUCUAGAAUAUCCAACCUUAGUCUCUAUACUACUAUAAUCCUGAUUGCCUGAAUAGAAACCCUAAGCCUAGUAAAUCAUCCUUCCAUCAAACCACAAAUCAAUCAAUCGAGCAAUUAACUUGCUCACAAAAUUUGCAACUUUACAUUUAAUCAUUAAAUCAACCUAGCUUAAUCAAUCUGAUUAGAUUUAUUUGGUUCUCUAGCUCCAUGUAGAUUCAAUUCCUAAGUACUACAACUCGACCUCUUAUUUCAGAGAGUAUAAAUUACUCUUUAGGGUAAUUUGAGUGAUAUCAAAUUUGGCGUCGUUGCCGAGAAGCUUUUGAUCGCCAUUAGAUCUUGUUUAGUUUGAUUUAGUCUAAGUUUUACUACUGUUAAAAAAACUGAUUAAAAAUUUUCUUUUGUUUCAGGUACAUACAUCUUAGCUAAAUGACUAUAACAAAGCGUUGAAUGGGAGGCAACCCACUAUUAAGUAAUUUCAUUCAGUUUAUGUUAGAUUGUUACAGUUUUUUGUUUUUAUUUUUAUGCAAGUCAAAAAAUAAAAAUGAACAGUACCGACGGUACUGUAGCGGCACCGAGCGACACUGUAGCAAGAAAAUCGAGCGACACUGUAGCAAGAAAAUUGAACGACACUGUAGCAAGAUCAUCGACCGACACUUUAACAGAAAAUCAGGAGUUACUGUAGUUGCGAUACUGUAGCAGGGCUACUGUAGCAGUCACUGUUCAUCGAAAAAAAAUUGAAUUCGUUUUAUUAGUUAUCUAUUACUAACUUUUAGUGUUUUAGUUAUGUUAGGUAAAAAGAAAAGAUCCAAGGAAGACGAGGAUCGACGAUGGCUGCGCAUCAUCAAUCGACAGAGCAUCACUAGAAUCGAUCUAUCGCCAC